UACGGAGGGUGCGAGCGUUGUCCGGAAUCACUGGGCGUAAAGGGCGCGUAGGCGGAUUAUGUAGUCAGGCGUGAAAUUCCCGGGCUUAACCUGGGGGCUGCGUUUGAUACGCAUAGUCUAGAGUGCGGAAGAGGGUCGUGGAAUUCCCAGUGUAGAGGUGAAAUUCGUAGAUAUUGGGAAGAACACCGGUGGCGAAGGCGGCGACCUGGUCCGCAACUGACGCUGAGGCGCGAAAGCGUGGGGAGCAAACAGG
rnacentral:rRNA from 1 species